CAGCAUGAUUGAAGCUUGCUUCAAUUGAUGGCGACCGGCGCACGGGUGAGUAACACGUAUCCAACCUGCCGAUAACUCGGGGAUAGCCUUUCGAAAGGAAGAUUAAUACCCGAUAGUAUAGUAUUUCCGCAUGGUUUCACUAUUAAAGAAUUUCGGUUAUCGAUGGGGAUGCGUUCCAUUAGAUAGUUGGCGGGGUAACGGCCCACCAAGUCAACGAUGGAUAGGGGUUCUGAGAGGAAGGUCCCCCACAUUGGAACUGAGACACGGUCCAAACUCCUACGGGAGGCAGCAGUGAGGAAUAUUGGUCAAUGGACGAGAGUCUGAACCAGCCAAGUAGCGUGAAGGAUGACUGCCCUAUGGGUUGUAAACUUCUUUUAUACGGGAAUAAAGUGGAGUAUGCAUACUCCUUUGUAUGUACCGUAUGAAUAAGGAUCGGCUAACUCCGUGCCAGCAGCCGCGGUAAUACGGAGGAUCCGAGCGUUAUCCGGAUUUAUUGGGUUUAAAGGGAGCGUAGGCGGGUGCUUAAGUCAGUUGUGAAAGUUUGCGGCUCAACCGUAAAAUUGCAGUUGAUACUGGGCGCCUUGAGUGCAGCAUAGGUAGGCGGAAUUCGUGGUGUAGCGGUGAAAUGCUUAGAUAUCACGAAGAACUCCGAUUGCGAAGGCAGCUUACUGGACUGUAACUGACGCUGAUGCUCGAAAG
rnacentral:rRNA from 1 species